rnacentral:misc_RNA from 1 species
UUUCCGUAGGUGAACCUGCGGAAGGAUCAUUACAUUCAGUAGCCUAGCUACUUGUUUAUACCCUUGUUUUUGCGUACCUAUUGUUUCCUCGGCGGGCUUGCUCGCCGGUUGGACAAAACUAUAACCUUUUUUAAAUCUUCAAUCAGCGUCUGAAUUAUACAUAAUAAUUACAACUUUCAACAACGGAUCUCUUGGUUCUGGCAUCGAUGAAGAACGCAGC